rnacentral:tRNA from 3 species
GCCAGCAUAGCUCAGUUGGUAGAGCAGCUGAUUUGUAAUCAGCUGGUCGGGGGUUCGAGUCCCUCUGCUGGCUCCA